UGCACAAAUCUUUAAGAAGGCUCUGGCAGAUGCAAUGUUAAGUCCCCUACAAGGACAUACCCACAGCUCAGGGCACAUCCUGGAUUGUUACAGAAGCUCCAUGGCAACUGGAAGGAAGCCUGCAGAGGCCACUGAUGGUAACUGCCUGCCCGUAAGUCUUGAGGACUGUCUUAGUCCAUUCAAACUGCUACAAUAACACCACCACAGACUGCAUGAUUUAU
rnacentral:lncRNA from 1 species